rnacentral:lncRNA from 1 species
CUACAAUAAUAAUGCAAUAAAAUCCAGAUAACAAAAAAGGUCUUUUAACUUUUCAGUCAUGUUAUAUCACUCACAAUAAUAGACAAAUACAUAUACUGACCCAUGUCGAAUACAAUGUCAAGGUCCAUUAAAAGAUAAGUUUCUAAGGAUUCAAAUUGUUCAGGUAUUAGAGAAUUGAAUUACAGCAAAUGUCAGAUCCUGUAGAUAAUGUACUGGACUUACCUUAAAAGUUGAUGCCAUAAGUAGAUCUUGAAGCUUAGGGACUAUGUCGUACGAUACAAUGUUGAAAACACCAUCAAGGUGAACGAACUUCUUAAUGUUUGAAGGCACUACUCUAAAUCCUGCCUUAUUUGAACCACCCCAUUGAGAUAAAACCACCUGUUCUAUUGCACCUUCUUCCAAGCCAUCAGCAUGGUGUUGCAAAGAUGGUGUGACGUUGUCCUUUGUAGAUUCUUUCUCCAAAAUCUCUAGAGAUGUUCCCUACACCAAUUUAUUACCAGGCAAGAAUUCAACUUUCGGUUUUAUGUUGAGAAUGUCAUCAACCGGGGGAGGGGUAGUAUUUUGGCCACUGCUUUCACCGGUUUUAGCUUUUCCUUUACCGAACAUAUUUUUCAACGAAAAUNNNNNN